UUUUCAUACACUUCCAUUAUCCACCAUUUUUUUUUUUUUUUGGCUAAAACAAGUGCUUUUAGUUUUACUAAAACCCAUACCCCGCCUUCGACUCUUUCCGAUCAAAUCUCCCAUGUCAUUGGAUUAUUAGUGAUGAAGGAAGCAUUUUUACCUUAAGUUUUGGUUGUGGAAGUUUCGGUUUAGCUCCAGAAGUAGAAAUAAUUGUGUUUUUCCCAAAAACAAGGUUCACUAUUAUGCUAUUUUACUCUUGGUGUAGUGUUAUUUUCUUCACUUUAUUAAACUGCCUACUCAAGAGAUGUAGCUCUAAUUAGAUUUCCUUCUCAGUGGUUGUAACUAGGGAAGAGGGUGAACUUCUUGUUGGAAUUAAGAAUGAAGGGGAAAUCCUCAGGAAAGGAUGCAAGGGGUAAGGAGGAGUAUACAGCAUUUUUCUACUUUCUCGUACCUAAGAACUCUUAGGUUUAUUGAAAAAUCGCAGCAAAACAUUCUUGGUGAACUAGUCAAGAAACGGUUAGAGGGACUAUGUGUUAUCUAUUACUUAAUCCACCUUCACAAGCACCAAGGUGAUUUUAUUGCUACAAGCUGCAUAACUCAAAAGCAUGCUUGCUAAUGAUCAGUUCAGAGCCUUGUAUUCUUUUAAUGUAUUUUCUUUGAAUUAGUAGUCAUUUCUUUAUUUACUUUUUUACUAGAUGCCUGAAUUGAAAAUUACCUAGUUUGGAUUUGGAUGAACUGUAAAUUUUGUUAUAUUUGUGUUCUGGUAAAAUAUUUUCGAUUCAAGAUUAUAUUGAUUGACACAUGUUUAAUUAA